CCACUAUUUAUGUUUAUUUACCACCAAACCAAGACAAGUCAGUAGGCGGUGCGAAUCUCAAAUUCUUUAUUCAUUUGUUGCAAGUGCGAAUCUCAAAUUACAGCGUUUUAAAAAAAAAAAUUUCCACCCUCCCUGGAACACCAUAUGAUAAACACUGGACCAUAUUUUGGAUUAACAAAGACCUAAGACUUGGAGCCUAAACAACAUCUAAGGAUCAUUUUUCUUCUCUCUUUUAUCAUCUCGCUUCUUCUAAAUAUGUUCUUAGAAGCUUCAGUAGAUUAAGCUAAACUUAAUCAUUUCUACCUUAUCUUUUCUUUCUGUAAUCUUUUGUGUGGACCAAUUAUUAAUUUAAGAAAACCCUUUGACAAAAAAAAACUAAAGAGGAUAUUGUCUUUGAUCUCACCAGUGCCGGCUGCAAUCGGGAUAAAAGUGGGUGGUGCUUUCAUUUUAAUAUACUUUUGAAUCAUUUCAAAUUGUCAAGAUAACAAAAACAAAUCCACCACUUGCGCACUAAUACAAGUACUUAAUUACGACAAUAGUGUAAUAAUUAGUGUUCUUAAAGAAAAUCCUAAAUAUUUUUAAGAAAAUUAAUAAUUCGAUAUCUAUUAUAUUAAAAGUGAAGCAGUCUUGAGAAAUCUACUUAUACAAGGUUACUACACUCUUUCAUUUAACUAAUAGUACAUUGGUCUACCUUUUAUUUUGCCUACUAUAUACAUUACCAUAUAUUACUCAAUGAUAAUUUAAGGGCUUUUACUCCAUAUAAUGUCACAUAUGUUUUAGUCUAUAUAUUAGAUGUUCCUAAUAGGGCUUAUUUGCCAAAUAACCAAAAAAAAAGAGUAAUUAGAUUUUUAGUGAGAGGUUAGAGAGAGAUAGGAAGAGAAAUAAGGAGAGAGAACGUGUUUUUGGUUAGAUACUGGGUUUGUGUUUUUUUUUGUGGUUAUAGGGUGCAAUUUCCCUUCCUAAUAGGCCAUGUGAAAUAAAAAAACGUACGAUGUAUAUACGACAAUGUCGUAGUUGGUAUGCCUUAUAGUACACGGAAACCCCUGUUUCUUCUUCAAUAUAUUGAUCUCAUUCAUAUUAUAACCAUGACAAUAUUAUUGAGUUAGAACACUAUAACACUCACUAGACUAAACCACCUUAUUCAUCUCAAAAUCUAAUGUACAAGCUAUCUAUAAUACCUUAUUCAUCUCAUAAUAUAUAAGCUAUCUAUACCAAAUCAGACCAUUUUAGCGCAAACUUGGUAUGAUUCAAACAGUCCGGUACAAGUUUAACAAUUAAAAUUUUAAAAUCGAAGAACAACUAAAAUUUUAAAAUCCGCGAUCAUAUUGCCUAAAUCGUUACAAAGUUUUCAAAAAAA